UCUCACAUAUGCCUGCCAGCAAAACAGGAUCAGUUGAAGUUGAUGAAAUAAAAGCAAAAAUUUCCUUAUGGACAGGAUGGUACAAAGGUGAAUAUUCAACUGUUCAAGGGAGCAGGUGUGAUGGCACUCACUAAUGCCUUCCAAAGAUCCCUAAGUAUGAGCCCCUUCUACAGGUGGAGGACCUUCCUCCUGACCAGGUUACCCAGAGCCCCACCCACCCUGGCCUCCAGUACCUCCAUAUAGUAACCCUUUUGGUAUCAACACAGGAAAGCAGAGUGAAGCCACUACCUUUGCAUGAUAAACAAACUGCAGUUCUUUGGAAACACGUUCCAGGUCCGUGGCCCUCUUG